rnacentral:rRNA from 1 species
ACGAACGCUGGCGGCGUGCUUAACACCUGCAAGUCGAACGGAAAGGCCCUGCUUGCCGGGUACUCGAGUGGCGAACGGGUGAGUAACACGUGGGUGAUCUGCCCUGCACUUCGGGAUAGGCCUGGGAAACUGGGUCUAAUACCGGAUAGGAGCCAUUUUUAGUGUGAUGGUUGGAAAGUUUUUUCGGUGUAGGAUGAGCUCGCGGCCUAUCAGCUUGUUGGUGGGGUAAUGGCCUACCAAGGCGGCGACGGGUAGCCGGCCUGAGAGGGUGGACGGCCACAUUGGGACUGAGAUACGGCCCAGACUCCUACGGGAGGCAGCAGUGGGGAAUAUUGCACAAUGGGCGCAAGCCUGAUGCAGCGACGCCGCGUGGGGGAUGACGGCCUUCGGGUUGUAAACUCCUUUCGCUAGGGACGAAGCUUUUUGUGACGGUACCUAGAUAAGAAGCACCGGCUAACUACGUG